rnacentral:tRNA from 1 species
GCCCAUGUGGCGGAACUGGUAGACGCGCUAGUUUCAGGUACUAGUCUGUAACAAGGUAGGAGUUCGAGUCUCCUCGUGGGCA